CUGAGUACGGCGGAACACGUGAAAUUCCGUCGGAAUCCGGGAGGACCAUCUCCCAAGGCUAAAUACUCCCUAGUGACCGAUAGUGAACCAGUACCGUGAGGGAAAGGUGAAAAGCACCCCGGAAGGGGAGUGAAACAGUUCCUGAAACCGUGUGCCUACAAGUAGUUAGAGCCCGUUAAUGGGUGAUAGCGUGCCUUUUGUAGAAUGAACCGGCGAGUUACGAUUUGUUGCAAGGUUAAGCGGAAAAAGCGGAGCCGUAGCGAAAGCGAGUCUGAAUAGGGCGCAUAAGUAACAGGUCGUAGACCCGAAACCAGGUGAUCUACCCAUGUCCAGGAUGAAGGUAAGGUAAUACUUACUGGAGGUCCGAACCCACGCACGUUGAAAAGUGCGGGGAUGAGGUGUGGGUAGCGGAGAAAUUCCAAUCGAACUUGGAGAUAGCUGGUUCUCUCCGAAAUAGCUUUAGG
rnacentral:rRNA from 1 species